rnacentral:rRNA from 1 species
UCACGGCUACUACGUGCCAGCAGCGCGGUAAUACGUAGGUGGCAGCGUUAUCCGGAUUUAUUGGGCGUAAAGAGAGUGCAGGCGGUUUUCUAAGUCUGAUGUGAAAGCCUUCGGCUUAACCGGAGAAGUGCAUCGGAAACUGGAUAACUUGAGUGCAGAAGAGGGUAGUGGAACUCCAUGUGUAGCGGUGGAAUGCGUAGAUAUAUGGAAGAACACCAGUGGCGAAGGCGGCUACUGGUCUGCAACUGACGCUGAGACUCGAAAGCAUGGGUAGCGAACAGGAUUAGAUACCCUGGUAGUCCAUGCCGUAAACGAUGAGUGCUAGGUGUUGGAGGGUUUCCGCCCUUCAGUGCCGGAGCUAACGCAUUAAGCACUCCGCCUGGGGAGUACGACCGCAAGGUUGAAACUCAAAGGAAUUGACGGGGGCCCGCACAAGCGGUGGAGCAUGUGGUUUAAUUCGAAGCUACGCGAAGAACCUUACCAGGUCUUGACAUCUUGCGCCAACCCUAGAGAUAGGGCGUUUCCUUCGGGAACGCAAUGACAGGUGGUGCAUGGUCGUCGUCAGCUCGUGUCGUGAGAUGUUGGGUUAAGUCCCGCAACGAGCGCAACCCUUGUUACUAGUUGCCAGCAUUAAGUUGGGCACUCUAGUGAGACUGCCGGUGACAAACCGGAGGAAGGUGGGGACGACGUCAGAUCAUCAUGCCCCUUAUGACCUGGGCUACACACGUGCUACAAUGGACGGUACAACGAGUCGCGAACUCGCGAGGGCAAGCAAAUCUCUUAAAACCGUUCUCAGUUCGGACUGCAGGCUGCAACUCGCCUGCACGAAGUCGGAAUCGCUAGUAAUCGCGGAUCAGCAUGCCGCGGUGAAUACGUUCCCGGGCCUUGUACACACCGCCCGUCACACCAUGAGAGUUUGUAACACCCAAAGUCGGUGGGGUAACCUUUUAGGAGCCAGCCGCCUAAGUGAUCCUUGAAGAAAAAGUUUUUCCGCACGCCC